CGGCGAGUGAAGCGGCAACAGCUCAAAUUUGAAAUCUGGCUUCGGCCCGAGUUGUAAUUUGCAGAGGAAGCUUUGGGCGCGGCACCGACUGAGUCCCCUGGAACGGGGCGCCAUAGAGGGUGAGAGCCCCGUAUAGUCGGACGCUAAGCCUGUGUGAAGCUCCUUCGACGAGUCGAGUAGUUUGGGAAUGCUGCUCAAAAUGGGAGGUAAAUUUCUUCUAAAGCUAAAUACCGGCCAGAGACCGAUAGCGCACAAGUAGAGUGAUCGAAAGAUGAAAAGCACUUUGAAAAGAGGGUUAAAUAGCACGUGAAAUUGUUGAAAGGGAAGCGCUUGUGACCAGACUUGCGCCUGGCUGAUCAUCCGGUGUUCUCACCGGUGCACUCUGCCAGGCUCAGGCCAGCAUCGGUUCUCGCGGGGGGAUAAAGGCCCUGGGAACGUAGCUCCUCCGGGAGUGUUAUAGCCCAGGGUGCAAUGCCCUCGCGGGGA
rnacentral:rRNA from 1 species